GAGGAGGAAGAGAAGAGAGAGUGUCCAACACAAGAAUCUGCAACAACAGCUGCUUCUCUCCUUGGGUGGUUUAGUGUGGAUGACCGGGAUUGUACGCUGAAAAGGAGGGUAGUGCGGGUUGUCACGAGGAAGGAGAUGUGCAGCUGCAUCGCCUUUAUCAGACUUGGAGGAGCCUCGGGGCACCAAUGGAACCGUGGGAGCCUGUGGUGCCUCAGCAUCAGGUUGUUGAUCAUCAUGGGCACGAC
rnacentral:lncRNA from 1 species